AAUCCAUUCAUUGGACAUUUUCAUAGCAAGUCUUUGAAUCUCUCUCAUGCCUCAUACAAAUUCUCAUCUUCUAGUUGCUUGAAAUAUGUCAAAUCAUUUCGUAACU